rnacentral:rRNA from 1 species
CGUUGAGGCGGUUCCGUAAGUUGGGCGUGAAAGCCCCGGGCUCAACCCGGGGAGGCCGUUCAAUACUGCGGAACUUGAGGACAGCAGAGGGAGGUGGAAUUCCCGGUGUAGCGGUGAAAUACGUAGAUAUCGGGAGGAACACCAGUGGCGAAGGCGACCUCCUGGGCUGUUCCUGACGCUGAAGGCGAAAGCUAGGGGAGCAAACAGGAUUAGAUACCCUGGUAGUCC